rnacentral:rRNA from 1 species
UACGAAGGGGGCUAGCGUUGUUCGGAAUUACUGGGCGUAAAGCGCACGUAGGCGGACAUUUAAGUCAGGGGUGAAAUCCCGGGGCUCAACCCCGGAACUGCCUUUGAUACUGGGUGUCUAGAGUAUGGAAGAGGUGAGUGGAAUUCCGAGUGUAGAGGUGAAAUUCGUAGAUAUUCGGAGGAACACCAGUGGCGAAGGCGGCUCACUGGUCCAUUACUGACGCUGAGGUGCGAAGGCGUGGGGAGCAAACAGG